AACGAACGCUGGCGGCAUGCCUAACACAUGCAAGUCGAACGAGACCUUCGGGUCUAGUGGCGCACGGGUGCGUAACGCGUGGGAACCUGCCCUUAGGUUCGGAAUAACUCCCCGAAAGGGGUGCUAAUACCGGAUAAUGUCUUCGGACCAAAGGUUUAUCGCCUUUGGAUGGGCCCGCGUUGGAUUAGCUAGUUGGUAGGGUAAAAGCCUACCACGGCGACGAUCCAUAGCUGGUCUGAGAGGAUGAUCAGCCACACUGGGACUGAGACACGGCCCAGACUCCUACGGGAGGCAGCAGUGGGGAAUAUUGGACAAUGGGCGAAAUCCUGAUCCAGCAAUGCCGCGUGAGUGAUGAAGGCCUUAGGGUUGUAAAGCUCUUUUACCCGGGAUGAUAAUGACAGUACCGGGAGAAUAAGCUCCGGCUAACUCCGUG
rnacentral:rRNA from 1 species